rnacentral:rRNA from 1 species
UACGGAGGGAGCUAGCGUUGUUCGGAAAUACUGGGCGUAAAGCGCACGUAGGCGGCGCAGCAAGUCAGGGGUGAAAUCCCGGGGCUCAACCCCGGAACUGCCCUUGAAACUGCAGCGCUAGAAUUCUGGAGAGGCGAGUGGAAUUCCGAGUGUAGAGGUGAAAUUCGUAGAUAUUCGGAAGAACACCAGUGGCGAAGGCGACUCGCUGGACAGACAUUGACGCUGAGGUGCGAAAGCGUGGGGAGCAAACGGG